CACACACACACACACACACAGACACACACACACACACACACAAGACACACACACACACACACACACAGACACACACACACACACACACACACACACAGACACACACACAGACACACACACACACACACACACACACACACACACACACACACACACACACACCACACACACACACACACACACACUGUCUUAGUAAAUCCAUAAUCCUCCAUUAAGGCACUAAGCCUUUCUUUUAACUCCUCAGCCUCUGCACUCCGAGACUCCCACAUCUCCUCCUCCUCCUCCUCCUCAGCUCCUUCACACAUCUCCUCCUCCUCAGCUCCUUCACACAUCUCCUCCCCCUCCUCCUCAGCUCCUUCACACAUCUCCUCCUCCUCACUCCUUCACACAUCUCCUCCUCCUCGUCUCCUCACACAUCUCCUCCUCCUCAGCUCCUUCACACAUCUCCUCCUCCUCGUCUCCUUCACACAUCUCCUCCUCCUCGGUGUGAUGUAUAAAACCCUUUGUGUCUUCGGGAUCAUUUCCUUCUCUUUUAUCUGUGACGUGGGCGACAUGAUCCUCUAAAACUGCAACUGUCACUUUAUCCCGAACACAAGCGGGUGGAGCGCUGGACCACGUGUUUGUGUUCGGCCCGAAUCGACGCGCCGCCUCCUGCGUGUUCUUAUUCCCUUCUGACGGAGACCGUCACAGGGUGGACAGAAUAACAGAAACACCGUUGCUCUCUGGACAUUAUUAAUCUGUAGUUGACCUUCGUCUCCUUGUGUUAAAAUGUACGACUCUGUUUGGUGUCGACGAAGCUCAGAUGUGAGCACAACUAUGCAAGGAAUCUGUGCCGUUGGUGCAAUAAUGUCUCCUAACCCUCUUUAAAAUGAACGAUGACAUCAUGCUCGUACCAAACAUUUAACAAAACCCCAGUCCUAACCUCGUUCAUCUUCUAACAGACCAAAAGACAAUCAAAGUUAAAAGACAGCGUUUCUUUCUUUUUAAGUAAAAGUGACAAAAAAGGACCAAAAUGUACUUAGUGUUUUAAUAUUUAUGGGAAUGUUUUGUGUGUAACUGCCAAAUAAAAUGAUAUGAAAG
ensembl:lncRNA